rnacentral:rRNA from 1 species
GUGCACCAGUCGCGAAACUUUACAAUGUGCGAAAGCACGAUAAGGGAACUCUGAGUGCCUCCUAAGGAGGCUGUUCAGGUGUCUAAAAGCACCUGAAGGAAGGGCUGGGUAAGACCGGUGCCAGCCGCCGCGGUAACACCGGCAGCCCAAGUGGUAGCCACGUUUAUUGGGUCUAAAGCGUCCGUAGCCGGCUGGGUAAGUUCCUUGGGAAAUUUGGCUGCUUAACAGUCAAGCUUUCAGGGAAUACUGCCCGGCUUGGGACCGAGAGAGGUCAGAGGUACUCCAGGGGUAGGGUGAAAUCCAUUAAUCCUUGGGGGACCACCGGUAGCGAAGGCGUCUGACCAGACCGGGUCCGACGGUGAGGGACGAAGGCUAGGGGCGCGAACCGGAUUAGAUAUCCCCGUAGU